CAAGAAAUAUUUUAAUGAAAAUAUUUUGUUUACAUCAAAAAGAUACUAUUGUUUUCUUGA
rnacentral:tRNA from 1 species